rnacentral:rRNA from 1 species
GACGAACGCUGGCGGCGUGCUUAACACAUGCAAGUCGAACGGAAAGGCCCUGCUUUUGUGGGGUGCUCGAGUGGCGAACGGGUAAGUAACACGUGAGUAACCUGCCCUUGACUUUGGGAUAACUUCAGGAAACUGGGGCUAAUACCGGAUAGGAGCUCCUGCUGCAUGGUGGGGGUUGGAAAGUUUCGGCGGUUGGGGAUGGACUCGCGGCUUAUCAGCUUGUUGGUGGGGUAGUGGCUUACCAAGGCUUUGACGGGUAGCCGGCCUGAGAGGGAGACCGGCCACAUUGGGACUGAGAUACGGCCCAGACUCCUACGGGAGGCAGCAGUGGGGAAUAUUGCACAAUGGGCGGAAGCCUGAUGCAGCAACGCCGCGUGCGGGAUGACGGCCUUCGGGUUGUAAACCGCUUUCGCCUGUGACGAAGCGUGAGUGACGGUAAUGGGUAAAGAAGCACCGGCUAACUACGUG